rnacentral:misc_RNA from 1 species
GGGUUGGUGUUCUUCAUAAAAGUUGUAGUACUAUGUCAUAUCUUUCCAAUGCUAUAAAAAUCAGGUCAUUUGGACAUUCUUAGACCAAGUUAUGGCCAAAUGAACAAAUACUAUUCAUUUGGUCACUUUUACCAAGUCCAAAAUCGGUUACCCGGAUUUGGCCAAUUUUUUAUGUCAUCCUAAGUUUAUUUUCUGGGCAAGGUUUCUUCAUCAAAGUUGUGCCAUUAUGUGUCUAGUUUCAUGUCCAAUUGGCCUUGCACCAAUUGAACCUACACCUCUCAAGUUACAGCUGCCCAAACUUGCUGGACUCACAUCCAGCCCUGCAGGUCCUAUGAGGCAGCAUACCCAACCUCAAAUCCAAAGCCACAAUUCACUUCAAUUCCUUAUCAAACACAGCCAAAUGGUCACUAAUUGACCAUUAGAAUGUCCUUUAACCAUUUCAUAAGCCAAGUCAAAUUUUCAUUCCUAAACCCUAGCUAAAUUUCAAAGUUUUCACAAUUUCCCUAAUUUACUCUUUCAUUCUCUAUAUAUAUAUAUAUAUAUGGGAUUAUGGGUUCUAUCCUUUCUUCUUUAAGUACUUAGUAUCAUAUUUUGCACUUCGUAUUUGCAUGCAUGAGAUUUGAUAAUGAUCUUGUUGCAUUUAGAUUGGAGACAUGGCACUACCUAACAAAUCAAAAGGAGUGAAGAGAGAACGUUGUGAAGCUAAGAUAAAGAAUGGGAAUGAUUAUCAUACAUCAAAAAAGCAGAAGGAAGAUUCUGAAUAAAUCAUUUUGACUUGCGGGCUACAUCUAUACUUAUUCGCUGUUGCUCUUCCUCUAAAAAUUUUCUUUUGCAUUGUAGCAUUCUGAUGAAAUUGAAAUCAAGGGAGAAGUGUAGGUGUAAGAGGCGUGAGAUUUCUUUACUUGCUUCGCUAUACAUUUGUUUGCUCAUGAAAUUUUAGUUACUCUCAGAGAAGUAUAAUGCUUCAAGUCACAAAUGCUAAAGAAUAGUGUUAGCAGGUUCAUUUUUGUGCAUGUGCCUUGUAGUUGAGAACUUUUUGACCCUGCUCCCAGUGUUAAUACGUCUGCUAUUUUCACCUGGGAUCUAUUACCAUCUUGUGUUCAGAUUGAAAAAUUUACAGCUUGUCAUUGCUUCUUGUGAUUGGAGCUCAAGUUUUCAUCUCAAGCCUGUUUUGUCAUGAGACUCUAUUUUGCUUAUCGUGUUGUCAAAAUAAAUAAAUAAAGGAGGAAAAGAAUUUCAUUUUGUAGGAUGGAAUACUGUGG